AACCAAUGAUGAAAAUGAUUCUGCCAUAUGAAUCCUGAUUUAACCCUUUACCGUUCCACUUUAUUCUGAGGUU
ensembl:snoRNA